CUUGGUAGCAAGUACAUACGUACUGUCUGCGAGGCUACAACUCGCCGCCUGCCACUCAGCCAU
rnacentral:tRNA from 1 species